rnacentral:rRNA from 1 species
GACGAACGCUGGCGGCGUGCUUAACACAUGCAAGUCGAACGGAAAGGCCCUGCUUUUGUGGGGUGCUCGAGUGGCGAACGGGUGAGUAACACGUGAGUAACCUGCCCUUGACUUUGGGAUAACUUCAGGAAACUGGGGCUAAUACCGGAUAGGAGCUCCUGCUGCAUGGUGGGGGUUGGAAAGUUUCGGCGGGUGGGGAUGGACUCGCGGCUUAUCAGCUUGUGGGUGGGGUAGUGGCUUACCAAGGCUUUGACGGGUAGCCGGCCUGAGAGGGUGACCGGCCACAUUGGGACUGAGAUACGGCCCAGACUCCUACGGGAGGAAGCAGUGGGGAAUAUUGCACAAUGGGCGGAAGCCUGAUGCAGCAACGCCGCGUGCGGGAUGACGGCCUUCGGGUUGUAAACCGCUUUCGCCUGUGACGAAGCGUGAGUGACGGUAAUGGGUAAAGAAGCACCGGCUAACUACGUG